rnacentral:rRNA from 1 species
UACAGAGGGGGCAAGCGUUGUUCGGAAUUACUGGGCGUAAAGGGCGCGUAGGCGGCCUUCUAAGUCGAACGUGAAAUCCCCGGGCUCAACCCGGGAACUGCGUCCGAUACUGGAAGGCUUGAAUCCGGGAGAGGGAUGCGGAAUUCCAGGUGUAGCGGUGAAAUGCGUAGAUAUCUGGAGGAACACCGGUGGCGAAGGCGGCAUCCUGGACCGGCAUUGACGCUGAGCGCGAAAGCCAGGGGAGCAAAGCGGG